GCGCGCACGGAUGGCGGUGGGUCAUCAGCCCGUCCAGCGGUCCCCUCACCUGGAAAACACUGGGAAGUUGAGCCGCCGCGCCUCGCUCUUACCCGGGCAGAUGAGGCGCUGCCCGGAGCGGACCGGCUGCCCGAUCACCGUCUGCACUUUCACAGGGCUCUCUCUUUCUCCCGGUCCUCUCCAAGGCGUUUGUCAAUCUUCCCGACACUCACCAGGCGGCGAAGUGAGAGAGAAGGCCGUUUCCUGACCUCCCUCCGGCGCUACCUCCCCUCCUUUGCAGGAACUGCGGGCAGCGAUUUCUUCUCCGGGCCGCUGGAGCGCGUGGGGACCGCAGCGGGGUCCCUGCCCCCGUGGCCGCUCCACACCGAGCCCGCUUGGUCUCCGCAGAGUUGGUGCACCCGGCGGAGGCGCUGCAAGCUGCGGUGUCUCCAGCCAAGAAGGUGGGGAAGAAGAGGGGAGACAGUUCACCCUCCAGAACCGCGAGGCCAGUCUGCGCUCCUGCACACCGUAUGAGGCGUUUGUCCCUUCAACAAAUAUUUGAGGAGCUGGGCCAGUGCUGGAUGCUGAUGGGAACGUGAUGGAAUAUGGAGCCCAAACGGAAAAAUAACCCUGCCAUCCCUACCCCUCCAUCCCCCUGUGGAAACUCAGAAUUAAGCCCUGCUCAAAUCAACUUAAAUAGAAGACAAU
rnacentral:lncRNA from 1 species